UACGAAGGGGGCUAGCGUUGCUCGGAAUUACUGGGCGUAAAGGGAGCGUAGGCGGGUUAUCAAGUUGGGGUGAAAGCCCGGGCUCAACCUCGGAAUUGCCUUCAAACUGAUAACCUGGAGUAUGGAAGAGGUAAGUGGAACUCCGAGUGUAGAGGUGAAAUUCGUAGAUAUUCGGAAGAACACCAGUGGCGAAGGCGCUCACUGCCCGAUACUGACGCCGAGGCACGAAGCGUGGGGAGCAACAGAUAG
rnacentral:rRNA from 1 species